GAUGAACGCUGGCGGCGUGCUUAACACAUGCAAGUCGAACGGAAAGGCUCCUGCUUGCCGGGGUACUCGAGUGGCGAACGGGUGAGUAACACGUGGGUGAUCUGCCCUGCACUUCGGGAUAAGCCUGGGAAACUGGGUCUAAUACCGGAUAGGACCACAUUUUGGAUGGUGUGGUGGAAAGUUUUUCGGUGUGGGAUGAGCUCGCGGCCUAUCAGCUUGUUGGUGGGGUAAUGGCCUACCAAGGCGUCGACGGGUAGCCGGCCUGAGAGGGUGUACGGCCACAUUGGGACUGGGAUACGGCCCAGACUCCUACGGGGGGCAGCAGUGGGGAAUAUUGCACAAUGGGCGCGAGCCUGAUGCAGCGACGCCGCGUGGGGGAUGACGGCCUUCGGGUUGUAAACUCCUUUCGCUAGGGACGAAGCGUUUUUGUGACGGUACCUGGAGAAGAAGCACCGGCUAACUACGUG
rnacentral:rRNA from 1 species